rnacentral:lncRNA from 1 species
UUGAAGACAGCAUAUAUAUGGGUCUUGUUUUUGUAUCCAUUCAGCCAGUCUAUGUCUUUUGGUUGGGGCGUUUAGUCCAUUCACAUUUAAGGUAAUUAUUGAUAUGUAUGUUCUUAGCCAUUUUAUUAAUUGCUUUUGGUUUGUUUUGAUUGCUCUUUUUCCUUUCCUUCUUCUCUUGUUCUUUUCUGCCUAGGGAAGUUCCUUUAGUAUUUGUUGUAAGGCUGGUUUAGUGUUGCUGGAUUCUCUCAGCUUUUGCUUCUCUGUGAAGGUUUUGAUUUCUCCUUCAAAUCUGAAGGAGAGCCUUGCUGGGUAAAGUAAUCUUGGUUGGAGGUUUUUUUCCUUUCAUCACGUUAAGCAUAUCAUGCCACUCCCUUCUGGCCUGCAGAGUUUCUUUUGAAAAAUCUGCUGAUAACCUUAUUGGGGUUGCCUUGUAUGUUAUUUGUUUCUUUUCCCUAGCUUCUUUCAAGAUUUUUUCUUUGUAUUUAAUUUUGGUCAGUUUGAUUAGUACGUGUCUCGGGGUGUUCCUCCUUGGGUUUAUUUUAUAUGGUACUCGUUGUGCUUCCUGGAUUUGACUGAGUGGUUCCUUUCCCAUGUUAGGUAAUUUUUCGGCUAUUACAUCUUGGAGUAAUUUUCUGUCCCCUUCUCUUUCUCUUCUCCUCUGGCACCCCUACAAUACGGAUGUUGGUGCAUUUUACAUUGUCCCAGAAUUCCCUGAGACUCUCUUCAUUUUGUUUCAGUCUUUUUUCUCUUUUCUGUUCUGCAGCCGUAAUUUCCAUUAAUCUGUCCUCCACCUCCCUUAUUCGUUCUUCUGCCUCCUGUAUUCUGCUGUUGCUGCUUCUAGCAAUUUUUUUUAUUUCGGUUAUUGUAUUUUGCAUCUCUUCUUGUAUGUCUUUGGUCACUGUUUCCUGUAAGUUAUCCAUCUUCGCCUCCAGUUUAUUUCUAAUGUCUUGCAUCAUCUUCAGCAUCAACAACCUAAAGUCUUUUUCUUGGAGGCUGAGAAUCUCCUCAUUGCCUAGCUGAUUUUCUUNUUUUUUUUUCCUUUUUCUCUCAUCUGAGUUAUAGUUCUCUGUCUUAUCAUUUUUAUAGGUUUUUGGUGUGGUGACCUUUUCACAGACAAUAGAGUUGUAGCCUCUGUUACUUCUGAUGUCUGCCCCCCAUGUGGCUCAAUUCAAUAUGGGGACUUGCUGUAGGCUUCCUGAUGGGAGGGGCUGAUGCCUGCCCACUGGUAGGUGGAGCUGAUUCCUCUCCCUCUGGUGGGUGGGGCUUAGUCUCUGGAUAGGAUUAGAGGCAUCUGUGUGCCUGAGGGGUCUUUAGGGACCCUGUUAACUGAGGCGCAGGGCUGUGAUCCCACCUGGAUUGUUGUUUGCCCUUGGGCUUCUCAGUGCUGACUGAUGGAUGGGGCCAUAUUUUCCCGAAAUGGCCACCUCCAGAGAAAGGCAUGGCUGCUGAAUAUUCCCAAGAGCGUUGCCUUCAAUGUCCUUCCCUCACAACAAGCCACAUUUACCCCUGCUUUCUCAGGAUGUCUCCAAGAACUGCAGUCAGGUUUGACCCAGAUUCCUAUAGACACUUUGCUUUCCCCUGGGACCCAGUGCCUGUGAAAUUCUGUGUAAGCUUUUCAAGAAUGGGAGUCUCCAUUUACCCCAGUCCCAUGGAGCUCCUGCACACAAACCCCACUGGCCUUCAAUGCCAGAUGCUCCAGGGGCUCUUUCUCCCAGUGCCAGAUCCCCACACGUGAGAGUUUGAUGUGGGGCUCAGAGCUCUCACUCUUGUAGGUAAGUCUCUGUGAACCAGUUAGUUUCCAGUCUGUGGAGCUUCCCACCUGGGACAUUUGGGGUUGCUUAUAUCAUGAAAUCGACCCUCCUAUCUCUUGACAUGUCCUCCUCUUUUUCUUCUGCAGUAGGGUAUCUUUUUUAAGGUUUCCAGUCCAUUUGGGUGAAGAUUGCUCAGUCUUUAGUUGUGAAUUUUGUUGUUUUUAGGAGAAGCUGAGCUCCAGUCCUUCUAUUCUGCCAUCUUAAUCCCAUCUCCUGCUCUGGGUUCUCCAUAUUCCAUUUUUUAUAAGAGGAUUUUCAAUGCCUAAGUAGGUUGCUAAAUGGACAGAUCAAUACCAAGUGCUUCACCUUUAGCCUCCCAAAAGUUAAGUUGGUAAGAGUGUCUGGACCUGCAGGUAAGACAUACUAGAUAAGAAAAAAAGGUUGUAAGAGUUCAGAAACAAGUAGGAGAAAUAAAGCACUGAUAUAUUAAAGAUAAACUAUUUAUAUUUGUUUAAAUUCGUACUAUGCAUCAUGUUAUUCAAUAUAGCUAUGAAAAAAGAAAGUGCUAUUUUUUAUAGCUUGAUGUAUUCCAAAUUCCCCUCCUAUUGGUCUUUUUUCACUCCCUCCUCAUUUUCCAUUGACAUUAAUCUUUGGUGAUAAACCACAGCAGAAAUGGACACAUUUAGUUGUUUUUUCCAUUCAUUUUCCUCCUCACUUCUACUGAUUCUGAGCCUGUAGACUGUGCUCCUUGCCUCAGUUGCAGAAUGUGACAAGGUGAAAGAUGUAAAGAAGUUGGUCUCCUUUGAUUUUUUGUGUGUGUGUGUGUGGUGGGCACACCUGCAACAAAAUGGAGGUUCCCAGGUUAGGGGUAAAAUCAGAGCUGCAGCUUCUGAUUAUGCCACAGCCAAAGCAAUGCCAGAUCCCAGCUGUGUCUGCAACCUAUGCCUCAGCUUGCAGCAACUUGGAUCCUUAACCCACUGAGCAAGGCCAGGGAUCGAAUGCACAUCUUCAUGGAUACUAGUCAGCUUCUUAACCUGCUGAGCCACAACAGGAACUCCUGGUCUCCUUUGAUUUUAUUUCCAAAUAUCUGUGACCUAGUGAACCAGAGAGGACUCUAGGAAGCAGAGAGUAGAAAGGGAUUGCUUCUCUUUUUAACUUUAAGACUAGAAGUUCCUCUGGAUGGGGUAGAGUAAGCUGCUAGAAUGGUAACUCUAGAUAGAGGAGGCUUACUUUCUAUAUCCAAGGCAUAGCUCUGCCUUGUCUGCAAAUCAUCAGCAAGCAUUGAGAAAUCUAAGAGCAGUGAGGACCUCCACAUGAAGAGAGUCAUGAGGAGGUGAUAGAGGGGAAGUGACUGCAGAGUGAGUCUGGGCAGAAAGUGUCAUAGACAGGGUCAUGAAGUUUUCCAUAGUAUUGGUAGCAAAGAAAUAUAAGAUCAGAUCUUGUGUCUCUCUCUAUGGCACAGAGGUGGUCAAUAGCUCCACGAACCAGGAGAAACAUGGAUGGAAAUAUGUGACCAGUGGUGACGAGCGUAUACGAAUGGGGAUGGGGUUUCCCAACAUGAUGACAAACAUCUCAUUUGGUUCUAGCUGGAUAAUGAUAUCUAGGACCAUCUGCUUACUCUGUACCAUGGUUCCCUGGAACUUAGAUUAUAACUUCAAGAAAAGAGGAAGAAGCAAAUUGACAGACAAUUUUUCCUAAUUUCAAUGAUAUUAAAUCUCAAAAAAUAAUUUCAAGAUAAAAAAUAACUCUUCUCCACAUUAGUUAGUGUCCAUUAUGAGUUCUAACUUUCAAUAAAAAGCUUAAUUCCUUAGAAAUACACAUAUCUGAUUGCUUAUAUGGGAGGCUUCUUGGGACAUUGGAAAGAGGUUAGAUAAGAGAAGCAGAAAAGAGUAUCCAGUCUCUGUUCUAUUCCUUCUCCUCUCUUGGCCUCAGUUUUCUCAUGUGCAAAAUGAAGUACUUAGAUGAGAUGAUCUCUAAUGACCCCUCCAGCUCUGAAAAUGUGAGUCUAUAUUAUCCUAUUGGCCAAAUUGCUCAUUAUUGCAGAGUUUAGCACUUAGGUUGUCAAAUGAAUAUAAAUUCCUGUCACCCCUCUUCCCAAUGGCAUUAUCUAAUGACCAUUUUCCUAAGAUCUAAUUCACAUGUAGGUCCAUUAUUUUAUCCUAUCUUUAAGUUUCAAGUAUGGGUCUUAUUCUGGUAAACCAUGUAGUGGGCAGAUUUGUGAGCGUAUUUGUUCCAAGGAUCCUCUUUUGCAGUUCUUUCAUAUAUGGUUGAAAGUCUUCUCUCUGUGCACUGGAAAAGAGUGGUGGUUAAAGGGCUUGGAUAGUUGCUAGGAAGGUCUGCUGUCUCAUGGGUGAUACACAAAGAGAAGAUAAAUCAUGGACUCAGAGUGGCGAUUUGUUGACCAGAGUUCAUGACCAGGGCUUCCUGUAAUCUUGUGGAAGUCCAGUCAGCCUUCCUUCUAUUGUGCUCUUUAGUGGGUGCUCAGGUCACUGGCCCAGAUUACCGUUCCAAUAGGAGUUAUGGAAUCAUCAAAACUGCCCGCAGUGCAUUCACAGAGGUGCAGGAAAAUGCCAGACGAUGCGGAGACUGAAGAGCUCUCUAAAUCCAUGUUUGCAGGUGGUCUUGCAUGGAUGGUGUAUCCACAUAUUAUGUGGGGUUUUCACUUCUGCUUUGAGUCCAGAUAUUUGUUUGUUUGGCCACUCCUGUGGCAUGUGAAAGUUCCUGGGCCAGGGAUGGAACCAAGCCACAGCAGAGGCAAUGUCAGGUCCUUAACCCACAGAGCCAUUUUUCUUUGCGGCUCUGUCUUUUCAUCUGAGCCUUUCCCUACUGGAAAGCUUUGGCUAGAGGUUAAGGAUCUGGCAUUAUCACAGCUAUGACUUGGGUUCAAUCCCUGGCUCAGGAACUUCCACAUUCUAUGGCAUGGUUUAAAAAAAAAAAAAAAAAAAAAA